rnacentral:rRNA from 1 species
CCUACGGGCGGCUGCAGGGAGGAAUAUUGGUCAAUGGGCGCGAGCCUGAACCAGCCAAGUCGCGUGAGGGAAGACGGUCCUAUGGAUUGUAAACCUCUUUUGUCGGGGAGCAAAAGACGCCACGCGUGGCGUUCCGAGAGUACCCGAAGAAAAAGCAUCGGCUAACUCCGUGCCAGCAGCCGCGGUAAUACGGAGGAUGCGAGCUUUAUCCGGAUGUAUGGGGUUUAAAGGGUGCGCAGGCGGAAGAUCAAGUCAGCGGUAAAAUUUAGAGGCUCAACCUCUUCGAGCCGUUGAAACUGGUUUUCUUGAGUGCGCUAGCAGUAUGCGGUAUGC